rnacentral:rRNA from 1 species
CCUACGGGAGGCAGCAGUAGGGAAUCUUCGGCAAUGGGCGAAAGCCUGACCGAGCAACGCCGCGUGAGCGAUGAAGGCCUUCGGGUCGUAAAGCUCUGUUGUUAGAGAAGAACAAGUACGAGAGUAACUGCUCGUACCUUGACGGUACCUAACCAGAAAGCCACGGCUAACUACGUGCCAGCAGCCGCGGUAAUACGUAGGUGGCAAGCGUUAUCCGGAAUUAUUGGGCGUAAAGCGCGCGCAGGCGGUCUCUUAAGUCUGAUGUGAAAGCCCACGGCUCAACCGUGGAGGGUCAUUGGAAACUGGGAGACUUGAGUGCAGGAGAGAAAAGUGGAAUUCCACGUGUAGCGGUGAAAUGCGUAGAGAUGUGGAGGAACACCAGUGGCGAAGGCGGCUUUUUGGCCUGUAACUGACGCUGAGGCGCGAAAGCGUGGGGAGCAAACAGGAUUAGAUACCCCUGUAGUC